UACGUAGGGUGCGAGCGUUGUCCGGAAUUAUUGGGCGUAAAGAGCUCGUAGGCGGUGUGUCGCGUCGGCUGUGAAAACCUGCAGCUUAACUGUGGGCUUGCGGUCGAUACGGGCAUCACUGGAGUUCGGCAGGGGAGACUGGAAUUCCUGGUGUAGCGGUGAAAUGCGCAGAUAUCAGGAGGAACACCGGUGGCGAAGGCGGGUCUCUGGGCCGAUACUGACGCUGAGGAGCGAAGGCGUGGGGAGCGAACAGG
rnacentral:rRNA from 1 species